CUCCCUCUACCCAGAGGCAGCCAUGAUGGAGCUACCUGGCUGCUGUGGAACCCAGCCUCAGGGAUUGAAUAUCUUACCAGGUUCUUGGCUCUCAGGUCUGAUUCUGCUGCUGUUACUGUGUUAGAGCUGGUGUAAUCAAUUUUUAAAUUCGUACGAAGUCUAUUAAAUAUUGUUAAAUAUAAAUGUAUGAAAUUAUAUCUAUCCAUCCCACUAGUUCCGUCCCGCUAGAGAGCGCACACUAAUCCACAGUGCGCUCCCCUUUCCCUGGCUUACCUUUCCCAUUGCUUCCUCGUUUGUGUACUGACUUGGGUGGAACUUUUGGGUGCAUUCGAUGUUCUCUGGCAACAAAUUAGAAUCGCCUGUGCAGACGGUCUUACUUGAAGAAGCAUCCUGAUUGCCUUGAUUGGAUGGAUGUAGGGAGACCUGCCUGGACUACCUUCUGAUAGUCCGUGCAGUGGAAGCUCUGACUCAUUUCUACAGAAACCAUGUUGGGAUGUUUUGCCUACCUGUGUGGAAGUGCAUUGUGUGCCUACUGCCUAUAGAGGGAGAAGAGGGCACUGGAUCACCAGGAACUGAAGUUACAGACCGCGUGACCAUCAGCUGCACAGAGGAGGAGCUCAGAAGGAGUCGGAGGAUGAAGACGAUAUGGUACCGCCAUAUCGACCACUCGUCGUGGGUGGCAGCCAAGUGGUUUGCCUUUCUCCGGAAUGGCAGAGAUGGGUAAAUACUGGUCAUUAUCAAGAUUAUAACCUCUUUGGCUAAAGAGCAACCAAGAAAGGAAAAAUCUUCUCUUGCCCCCCACAAAGAAACCCCACCCACAUAGGAAAACAAGAUCAUAGUUUGACCUCUUGUUUGGCAACAACUUCCAGUGGCCUCUAAGAGCACAGUACUUAGGACCCAUAAAGUCACACCUGCUGAGGAGCGGUUGGUUGGACCCUCACAGACCUUAGUUUCCUCACCUGUGAAUGAUGGGCUUAGCCCGAAUCGUUUUCAUGCUUCCUGUACCAGCGUGUACACUUUUUGAAAAAAAGCACAAUCCGUCCAUCCAGCACCAUUAGCUCCAUUACUAGCUAGAAUUAAGUGAGCAUCUGCAGGCUAUGUGCUGAGAUUAAAAGGAUAAAUGAGAUGCGGUCUCUUAAUGAGCUCAUAGUUAUUGGUGAUACAUAUGUAAGUAACUGUGAUGGUUUAAUAAAUGCUAUUAAAUAUUCACAGAAUUAAUUGUAGUUAUGGUCCAGUUGUGUGCUCCCAGGAACAGUGUCAUACAACAGGAGCCAGCCCCUGAGAGAGCUCACUUUAUCACAAAGCCAUUCCCCUGAUAGUCUGCUAACUAUACCUGUCACGGUGAAUUAAUCCACCCAUCACACAGCCCUCCUCUGAGAGUCUCCUCUCUCAGUAUAUACGGCUCUGCUGGGUACCAGAUUUCCAGCACGUGAAAUCUGGGGGACACACAUGAGCCUUCACUCUAAGCAAAGGGCCACCGGUCUUGCUCUUGCUAAUUAUGGACUUCUGCCAUCUGAAGGGAGCCUUUCUUCCUUCCACAGAAAGCUCCUCCCCGGGCUUCACAGACGUGCUCUGUAAGUAGUUAUUUGUCUUCACAACUGCUUUGAAACCGUUCCCA